rnacentral:rRNA from 1 species
ACGGGAGGCAGCAGUGAGGAAUAUUGGUCAAUGGACGAGAGUCUGAACCAGCCAAGUAGCGUGCAGGAUGACGGCCCUCCGGGUUGUAAACUGCUUUUAGUUGGGAAUAAAAAAGGCGACGUGUCGCCUAUUGUAUGUACCAUCAGAAAAAGGACCGGCUAAUUCCGUGCCAGCAGCCGCGGUAAUACGGAAGGUCCGGGCGUUAUCCGGAUUUAUUGGGUUUAAAGGGAGCGUAGGCGGGUCCUUAAGUCAGUGGUCAAAGCGUGUGGCUCAACCAUACCACGCCGUUGAUACUGGGGACCUUGAGUGCACAUAAGGAUGGUGGAAUUCGUCGUGUAGCGGUGAAAUGCUUAGAUAUGACGAAGAACUCCGAUUGCGAAGGCAGCUGUCCGGGGUGUAACUGACGCUAAUGCUCGAAAGUGCGGGUAUCAAACAGGAUUAGAUACCCUGGUA